rnacentral:rRNA from 1 species
GUGGGGAAUCUUAGACAAUGGGGGAAACCCUGAUCUAGCCAUGCCGCGUGAGCGAUGAAGGCCUUAGGGUUGUAAAGCUCUUUCAGCUGGGAAGAUAAUGACGGUACCAGCAGAAGAAGCCCCGGCUAACUCCGUGCCAGCAGCCGCGGUAAUACGGAGGGGGCUAGCGUUGUUCGGAAUUACUGGGCGUAAAGCGCGCGUAGGCGGACCAGAAAGUUGGAGGUGAAAUCCCAGGGCUCAACCUUGGAACUGCCUUCAAAACUCCUGGUCUGGAGUUCGAGAGAGGUGAGUGGAAUUCCGAGUGUAGAGGUGAAAUUCGUAGAUAUUCGGAAGAACACCAGUGGCGAAGGCGACACACUGGCUCAUUACUGACGCUGAGGCGCGAAAGCGUGGGGAGCAAACAGGAUUAGAUACCCGUGUAGUCC